GUGACAAUGACAUCUGCGACGUUGUCAUUAAUUUCCGACCAUUUUCCGUGUGCUAUAAAUUUUCACAGCCGAAUUAUGUAAAAGCCACAAAAAUUGCAAUAAAUUAUCUUUUUUCGGUGAAUGUUACAAAAAGCGAGAGCCAAACCAUAAGCACUUUUUAAGUAUUUGGAAUCGCGGUAAAAUCUGUGCAAAGUAACUACACAAUGGCCAAAGACCCUGCAGCGGCGAAAAGUCCCGAAGAUGAAUACAGGAGGAAAUUGGACAUGUGCAUCACUGAUACCAUCGUAAAAGGAGGUGGUGGAGUCCUGCUUGGUUCUUUGGUAUCAAUGUUACUAAUUAAAAGAAGGUGGCCAAUCACAACAGGAUUAGGCGUAGGCAUGGGUAUUGCAUUUGCCAACUGUCAGUUCGCUCUAAAUCCUGAAAAAGAUGGUUUAUAAACAUUAGCAUGUAGGGUCUACAGUUGUCAGAUGGACGUGGUGUACAAGACGAUCACAUGAAUGAAAUAAGCCGUGAAAUGCGUACAACAAAGGCUUACUGAGAUUGGUAGCAAGUUGAGUACUUAUUUCAACCACUUGCUUUGUACCACAAUCACCUGACAACUACAUAGACUGGAUAAUUAUAUGAAAUAGAUGCAGUUAAUUUA